UGGGGAAUAUUGGGCAAUGGGGGAAACCCUGACCCAGCAACGCCGCGUGAGGGAAGAAGGUUUUCGGAUUGUAAACCUCUGUCCUUGGUGACGAAUAAAAUGACGGUAGCCAAGGAGGAAGCCCCGGCUAACUACGUGCCAGCAGCCGCGGUAAUACGUAGGGGGCAAGCGUUGUCCGGAAUGACUGGGCGUAAAGGGCGUGUAGGCGGCCGAUUAAGUCUGGAGUGAAAGUCCUGCUUUCAAGGUGGGAAUUGCUUUGGAGACUGGUUGGCUUGAGUGCGGAAGAGGCAAGUGGAAUUCCCAGUGUAGCGGUGAAAUGCGUAGAGAUUGGGAGGAACACCAGUGGCGAAGGCGACUUGCUGGGCCGUAACUGACGCUGAGGCGCGAAAGCGUGGGGAGCGAACAGG
rnacentral:rRNA from 1 species